GGAUUGUGGCUCAGCGGUAGAGUGCUUGCCUAGCACAUGCAAGGCCCUGGGUUAGAUCCUCAACACCA
rnacentral:tRNA from 1 species